UCUGUUGCUGUGUUUAGUUUCUCCCCUUUUUUCAUGUGUCUGUUUGUUGUUAUGACUGUAGUGGGCUCCAUCAACAGACCAGGGCAAAGUCGGUCUGUCCUGCUACUACUACAUGCUACUUGACUAUGACUGGAAGCCAUGGCUGCUGCCCUCAACAUGCUAAACUGAAACCCUCACAAAUAAACUGAUAUCAAUAAUUAACAUUGAUGGUGAUGGUGGCAAGGGUGCCUUCAUAAGGUGCCAUCCAGCAAGUCCCAGCCUGGAGCCAGAGGCUGGCACUGCACGCCAG